GAAAGUUGCUGUAAAAGUCACCCAAAAAAUUGAAAAAUCUGCCCAAAUUUUUGCCUUUUCGGGUAACCAAAUUUGUGGGUUUAUUCCGGCCAAAUCCUUUGGAUUUUUGGGGAGAUUUUUGGUGUUAAUUGAAAAGGACAUUGUAAGCUUUCCAAUGGUAUCAAAUUCCGGCGUGUUGGUGGUCGGAAGUCGUCGGGAAAUUGCCCAAAAAAUCUGAAAAUCUAGGCAGAUUUUCAGAUUUUUGGGCGACUUUUGCGGUAAUUUUC
rnacentral:miRNA from 1 species